rnacentral:rRNA from 1 species
AUUGAACGCUGGCGGCAGGCUUAACACAUGCAAGUCGAACGAGUGGCGGACGGGUGAGUAAUGCCUGGGAAUCUAGCUUAUGGAGGGGGAUAACUACGGGAAACUGUAGCUAAUACCGCGUACCAUAGGAUGAGCCCAGGUGGGAUUAGCUAGUUGGUGGGGUAAAGGCUCACCAAGGCGACGAUCCCUAGCUGGUCUGAGAGGAUGACCAGCCACACUGGAACUGAGACACGGCCCAGACUCCUACGGGAGGCAGCAGUGGGGAAUAUUGCGCAAUGGGGGCAACCCUGACGCAGCCAUGCCGCGUGAAUGAAGAAGGCCUUCGGGUUGUAAAGUACUUUCGGUAGCGAGGCGUUACCCGCAGAAGAAGCACCGGCUAACUCCGUGCCAGCGGCCGCGGUAAUUC